GAGUUUGAUCAUGGCUCAGGAUGAACGCUAGCGGCAGGCUUAACACAUGCAAGUCGAGGGGUAGAGUUAGUUUGCUAACUUGAGACCGGCGCACGGGUGCGUAACGCGUAUGCAAUCUACCUUGUACAGGGGGAUAGCCCAGAGAAAUUUGGAUUAAUACCCCAUAGUGUUAUGAUGUGGCAUCACAUUAUAACUAAAGUUCCAACGGUACAAGAUGAGCAUGCGUCCCAUUAGCUAGUUGGUGUGGUAACGGCAUACCAAGGCAACGAUGGGUAGGGGUCCUGAGAGGGAGAUCCCCCACACUGGUACUGAGACACGGACCAGACUCCUACGGGGGGCAGCAGUGAGGAAUAUUGGUCAAUGGGCGCAAGCCUGAACCAGCCAUGCCGCGUGCAGGAUGACGGUCCUAUGGAUUGUAAACUGCUUUUGUACAGGAAGAAACACUCCCUCGUGAGGGAGCUUGACGGUACUGUAAGAAUAAGGAUCGGCUAACUCC
rnacentral:rRNA from 1 species